AGAGUUUGAUCAUGGCUCAGAUUGAACGCUGGCGGCAUGCUUUACACAUGCAAGUCGAACGGCAGCGCGGGGCAACCUGGCGGCGAGUGGCGAACGGGUGAGUAAUAUAUCGGAACGUACCCAAGAGUGGGGGAUAACGUAGCGAAAGUUACGCUAAUACCGCAUACGAUCUCAGGAUGAAAGCAGGGGACCGCAAGGCCUUGUGCUCCUGGAGCGGCCGAUAUCUGAUUAGCUAGUUGGUGAGGUAAAGGCUCACCAAGGCGACGAUCAGUAGCUGGUCUGAGAGGACGACCAGCCACACUGGAACUGAGACACGGUCCAGACUCCUACGGGAGGCAGCAGUGGGGAAUUUUGGACAAUGGGGGCAACCCUGAUCCAGCAAUGCCGCGUGAGUGAAGAAGGCCUUCGGGUUGUAAAGCUCUUUUGUCAGGGAAGAAACGGCUGUGGCUAAUAUCCACGGCUAAUGACGGUACCUGAAGAAUAAGCACCGGCUAACUACGUGCCAGCAGCCGCGGUAAUACGUAGGGUGCAAGCGUUAAUCGGAAUUACUGGGCGUAAAGCGUGCGCAGGCGGUUUUAUAAGUCUGUCGUGAAAUCCCCGGGCUUAACCUGGGAAUUGCGAUGGAGACUGCAAGGCUGGAGUCUGGCAGAGGGGGGUAGAAUUCCACGUAGCAGUGAAAUGCGUAGAGAUGUGGAGGAACACCGAUGGCGAAGGCAGCCCCCUGGGUCAAGACUGACGCCCAUGCACGAAAGCGUGGGGAGCAAACAGGAUUAGAUACCCUAGUAGUCC
rnacentral:rRNA from 1 species